GAAAAUCCCGUCAAACAGAUAGUUAUCGGCCCUUGAAAUGAACCUGUGAUCAGACUUAUCAUUUCGUUUUAACCGUGAACUUGCGUGAGUUGAGACACAGUGAUUGGUCUAUGGGUGAAGAACAGUCUGUAAACUAACUCCGUAAUGUUGAAGCCAGUUCAAUAUGAAUUGCUAGUUUUCGUUCAUUGGGUUAAAGGCAAGCCUACUUUCGCUUUAAACAGCAAAAAGCUUUGAAUGCCUCGAGGGCCUUGUGCAUCGCCAAACACCAGAGCAGACGCGCAUUCAACUUUAUAUAUGGCUGACGGCUAAUUAAAAAUAAGAAGCUACUUGCUGGAGACUAAGUAUUCGGGAGUUGUGCAAAUAUUGCGUUAUUUCGAAAUUCUUAAAGGUUGGAGUGGUCAAUAAACCGUUGGUUGAGCAUGGCAAAAUACCUGAAAAUGGCAAAUUUUGUUGUUUGAAUCAUGUUCUGAUGCCGAAAAUAUCCAUUUUAAAAGUUGCUGAGAAAAAAUUAUCUGUUCAUUUUUCCCAGGAGGGACCAUUCCCUUUUUACCCAGCCAGCAUUGUUUUUUUUUUCUCAGAGCCAGCAGUGUUUUGGCAUUUUAACACAUAAACUAAUUACCCGUUUAGAGACGAUUUUUCCCCCAAGCAUUCGCUCCAGCGCCCCACCAAAUAUUCCCAGCACAACUAGUUCGACUCCACAAAUUUGCCAGCAGAACCAUUCGGGACGAUUUUUUCCCAGCAACAGAGGGGAAUAAACAUCUUCCCAGCCAGCAAAAAACGGGCUGCGGAACAGAUCUGUUUUGUAUAGAGUGUUGGUAUUGUCAUGAGGGAGACUGUGAUGCCGGUGAAUUAAGCAAGGAAAACACGUUUGUCUGAGCUUGUUAAAGCAAUUCCUCAAAGAGAAAGGGGCACGCAUUUGUUUCAAUUGUUUUUAGGCUAGGGGUGCAAAUAGAUAAGGAGAGUAUCAUCUACACGUGGCCUUCGACCCCAACUAGAAAACCACUUUCGGGCUGCAUCCGACACCUCUUCGGCAUUUCGAAGGGCGAUUCUCUGGGUUUGUGAGCCUUCCCCAAAGUAUAGAGUCUGAUACAUACAGUACAUAUCGGUUAUUAAAAUCUAUCAAACUUA